rnacentral:rRNA from 1 species
UGCAGUCGAGCGAGAAGUCGUAGUUUGAAACUUCGGUCGAUUUCUACGAUGGACAGCGGCGGAUGGGAGAGUAACGCGUAGUUAUCUGCCUCGAGGCCCGGGAUAGCCAUGGGAAACCGUGGGUAAUACCGGAUGAUAUCUUCGGAUCAAAGGUGUGAUUCCACCUUGAGAGGAGACUGCGUUGUACUAGCUUGUUGGUGGGGUAAAGGCCUACCAAGGCAACGAUGCAUAGCGGGCGUGAGAGCGUGGCCCGUCUCACUGGGACUGAAACACUGCCCAGACACCUACGGGUGGCUGCAGUCGAGAAUCUUCGGCAAUGGGCGAAAGCCUGACCGAGCGGUGCCGCGUGCGGGACGAAGGCCCUCGGGUUGUAAACCGCUGUCAGUUGGGAGGAAGGUCCGCUGAAGAGGCGGACUUGACCUAUCUUCAGAGGAAGUCCGGGCUAAGUUCGUGCCAGCAGCCGCGGUAACACGAACCGGACGAACGUUAUUCGGAAUUAUUGGGCUUAAAGGGUGCGUAGGCGGUGCUGUAAGUCGGGUGUGAAAUCCCACGGCUCAACCGUGGAACUGCGCCCGAUACUGCAGUGCUAGAGGGAGACAGAGGUAAGCGGAACUGAUGGUGGAGCGGUGAAAUGCGUUGAUAUCAUCAGGAACACCAGUGGCGAAAGCGGCUUACUGGGUCUCUUCUGACGCUGANGCACGAAAGCCAGGGUAGCGAACGGGAUUAGAUACCCCGGUAGUCCUGGCUGUAAACGAUGAGCACUUGGUUGAGGGCCCCCCCAUNNNUUCUCGACCGUAGCGAAANUGUUAAGUGCUCCGNCUGGGGNGUAUGGUCGCANG